CCGCAUCUGUGCAUGCAGCAUAUCAAUAAGCGGAGGAAAAGAAACUAACAAGGAUUCCCCUAGUAACGGCGAGUGAAGCGGGAAGAGCUCAAAUUUGAAAUCUUAAAGGGUUUCCCUUUACGAAUUGUAGUUUAAAGAAGUGUUUUCUGUUGAGGUUUUGGUAAAAGUUCUUUGGAAUAGGACAUCAUAGAGGGUGAGAAUCCCGUAUUUGACCUUUACUUUCAACUUUGUGAUACACUUUCAAAGAGUCGGAUUGUUUGGGAAUGCAGUCCAAAAUGGGUGGUAAAUUUCAUCUAAAGCUAAAUAUUGGCGAGAGACCGAUAGCGAACAAGUACCGUGAGGGAAAGAUGAAAAGAACUUUGAAAAGAGAGUUAAACAGUACGUGAAAUUGUCAAAAGGGAAGCGUUUGACACCAGUGUUGUUUUUCUGAAAAUCAAUUAAAGAACUGUUUAUGCUAAGUUGUUUAGACUUUAUCAGCUAAUCUGUUUAGUUUUGAGCUUUUCCUUAAUGCACUUUUCAGUUAACAAGUCAACAUCAAUUUCUUUUGCUGUAAAAAAGCUUGAGGAAGGUGGCUUGAGAUUCGUCUUAAGUGUUUAUAGCCUCUUGCCUAUGCAGUCGGAGAGAUUGAGGUCUGCAGCGUAGAUCCUUCGGGGCUAAAUGCAUUUGUGCUAAGUUAUAGCAUUUUAUAGACAACUUGUUGACUAUGAUUUGUCUUGUAGCUUACUCGCUUAUGUUAUUUUACCUACGCUUAGGAUGUUGACAGCAGUAUAGACUGU
rnacentral:rRNA from 1 species